rnacentral:rRNA from 1 species
UACAGGGGGGCAAGCGUUGUUCGGAAUUACUGGGCGUAAAGGGCUCGUAGGCGGCCAACUAAGUCCGACGUGAAAUCCCCAGGCUUAACCUGGGAACUGCAUCCGAUACUGGAUGGCUUGAAUUCGGGAGAGGGAUGCAGAAUCCAGGUGUAGCGGUGAAAUGCGUAGAUAUCUGGAGGAAUACCGGUGGCGAAGGCGGCAUCCUGGACCGACAUUGAC